UAUAAGGUUGGUGCAAAAGUAAUUGCGGUUUUUACCAUAACUUCCAAUGGCAAGAUCUGCAAUUAAUUUUGCUCCAACCUAAUA
rnacentral:miRNA from 1 species